rnacentral:rRNA from 1 species
UGCAGUCGAACGGUAACGCGGGGCAACCCGGCGACGAGUGGCGAACGGGUGAGUAAAGCAUCGGAACGUGCCCAGUAGUGGGGGAUAGCCCGGCGAAAGCCGGAUUAAUACCGCAUACGACCUACGGGUGAAAGGGGGGGAUCGCAAGACCUCUCGCUAUUGGAGCGGCCGAUGUCAGAUUAGGUAGUUGGUGGGGUAAAGGCCUACCAAGCCUGCGAUCUGUAGCUGGUCUGAGAGGACGACCAGCCACACUGGGACUGAGACACGGCCCAGACUCCUACGGGAGGCAGCAGUGGGGAAUUUUGGACAAUGGGCGCAAGCCUGAUCCAGCCAUGCCGCGUGCGGGAAGAAGGCCUUCGGGUUGUAAACCGCUUUUGUCAGGGAGGAAAAGCCUUGGGUUAAUACCCUGGGGUGAUGACGGUACCUGAAGAAUAAGCACCGGCUAACUACGUGCCAGCAGCCGCGGUAAUACGUAGGGUGCAAGCGUUAAUCGGAAUUACUGGGCGUAAAGCGUGCGCAGGCGGUUGUGCAAGACAGGUGUGAAAUCCCCGGGCUUAACCUGGGAACUGCACUUGUGACUGCACGGCUUGAGUGCGGCAGAGGGGGAUGGAAUUCCGCGUGUAGCAGUGAAAUGCGUAGAUAUGCGGAGGAACACCGAUGGCGAAGGCAAUCCCCUGGGCCUGCACUGACGCUCAUGCAC